rnacentral:tRNA from 1 species
GUCUGGGUGGUGUAGUUGGUUAUCACGUUAGUCUCACACACUAAAGGUCCCCAGUCCGAGCCUGGGCUCAGACA